rnacentral:rRNA from 1 species
UACGGGGGGGGCAAGCGUUGUUCGGAAUUACUGGGCGUAAAGGGCGCGUAGGCGGUUUGCUAAGUUGGAUGUGAAAACUCUGGGCUUAACCCAGAGCCUGCAUCCAAAACUGGCAAACUUGAGUACUGGAGGGGAAAGCGGAAUUCCUGGUGUAGCGGUGAAAUGCGUAGAUAUCAGGAGGAACACCGGUGGCGAAGGCGGCUUCCUGGACCGACACUGACGCUGAGGCGCGAAAGCUAGGGGAGCAAACGGG